UGGGGAAUUUUGCGCAAUGGGGGAAACCCUGACGCAGCAACGCCGCGUGGAGGAUGAAGCCCCUUGGGGCGUAAACUCCUUUCGACCGGGAAAAUAAUGAUGGUACCGGUGGAAGAAGCACCGGCCAACUCUGUGCCAGCAGCCGCGGUAAUACAGAGGGUGCGAGCGUUGUUCGGAAUUAUUGGGCGUAAAGGGCGCGUAGGCGGUAUUGUAAGUCACCUGUGAAACCUCUGGGCUUAACUCAGAGCCUGCAGGCGAAACUGCAAUGCUGGAGGGUGGGAGAGGUGCGUGGAAUUCCCGGUGUAGCGGUGAAAUGCGUAGNUAUCGGGAGGAACACCUGUGGCGAAAGCGGCGCACUGGACCAUAACUGACGCUGAGGCGCGAAAGCUAGGGGAGCAAACAGGAUUAGAUACCCUGGUAGUCCUAGCCCUAAACGAUGAUUGCUUGGUGUGAUNNNUACCCAAUCCGAUUGUGCCGCAGCUAACGCGAUAAGCAAUCCGCCUGGGGAGUACGGUCGCAAGGCUG
rnacentral:rRNA from 1 species